rnacentral:rRNA from 1 species
GGAUUAGAUACCCUGGUAGUCCUAGCCGUAAACGAUGGGCACUAAGUAGAGGGGCUCCCAAGGCCUCUCUGCCGUAGCUAAUGUGUUAAGUGCCCCGCCUGGGGAGUAUGGUCGCAAGGCUAAAACUCAAAGGAAUUGACGGGGGCUCACACAAGCGGUGGAGCAUGUUGUUUAAUUCGAUACAACGCGAAGAACCUUACCUGGACUUGACAUCUACGUGGUACCAAACCGAAAGGGGCGGGACCGUCUUUGGCGGAGCGUAGACAGGUAUUGCAUGGCUGUCGUCAGCUCGUGCCG